GACGAACGCUGGCGGCGUGCCUAAUACAUGCAAGUAGAACGCUGAAGAGAGGAGCUUGCUCUUCUUGGAUGAGUUGCGAACGGGUGAGUAACGCGUAGGUAACCUGCCUUGUAGCGGGGGAUAACUAUUGGAAACGAUAGCUAAUACCGCAUAACAAUGGAUGACACAUGUCAUUUAUUUGAAAGGGGCAAUUGCUCCACUACAAGAUGGACCUGCGUUGUAUUAGCUAGUAGGUGAGGUAAUGACUCACCUAGGCGACGAUACAUAGCCGACCUGAGAGGGUGAUCGGCCACACUGGGACUGAGACACGGCCCAGACUCCUACGGGAGGCAGCAGUAGGGAAUCUUCGGCAAUGGGGGCAACCCUGACCGAGCAACGCCGCGUGAGUGAAGAAGGUUUUCGGAUCGUAAAGCUCUGUUGUAAGUCAAGAACGGGUGUGAGAGUGGAAAGUUCACACUGUGACGGUAGCUUACCAGAAAGGGACGGCUAACUACGUG
rnacentral:rRNA from 1 species